UACGAAGGGGGCUAGCGUUGUUCGGAAUCACUGGGCGUAAAGCGCACGUAGGCGGCUCUAUAAGUUGGAUGUGAAAACCCUCGGCUCAACCAAGGAAGUGCAUCCAAAACUGCAGAGCUUGAGUACUUAAGAGGAUCGCGGAAUUCCCGGUGUAGAGGUGAAAUUCGUAGAUAUCGGGAGGAACACCAGUGGCGAAGGCGGCGAUCUGGGAAGAUACUGACGCUGAGGUGCGAAAGCGUGGGGAGCAAACAGG
rnacentral:rRNA from 1 species